UCCUCCGAGCCAAUGGGAGCCAAUAGGAAGCCAGGGUUGGUGGAGGGAGCCGGGCGCGGAGAUGCCAUUGGUCAGAGUUUUCCAAGAGCGAGGCCAAUUAGAGCAAGAACGGAGGAACUCUGCAGCCAAUGGACGGCGCCUCCGGGGGCGGGAGCAGAGAGACAAGGAAAUGCUGUCACCGCCGUUAACACGCACGUGGAGUUUGUUAAAGGUAUAGGAAAUGAAGCGGUCCUGGCCGGGGACGGGGAAUGAGCCGCUGGGGGCUUGAGGGGAGUAGUCAGUAUCAAGGGGCCGGCCCCUAGCAGGUGCCUGAAGGCCAGCUUAGUGCAGAAAGUACCCGUCGGAGGAGGCUGGUGCCAGGAAAGGACAAAUGGAAAACGGAAUUAGGGGCCAGACUCGGAGGCAAGGUGAUGUGGAGACACAGAAAGGGGCGAUCUGGUGGGAGGGAGAAAUUGGCGUUCAAGAGUGGGACAGGUUGCAAAUGACUUGUGGAUCUCACGGGAUAGGUACUGUAUAGUGUGUGAGUAUGGGGAGGUACUCUGGGGUCUGGGGAGGAGCAGUCUUACCAAGACUAUGGUAAGAAAGCAGAUGGCUGAAUGAGAAAGGGGAAGAGGGAAAUUUGGGAUCAAGCCAUCCCAGACCAGAACCAUCUUCCAACUCGGAAUCCUCUCUCUCCAGCCUCAUUGCUAUAACCUGGGUCAGAGCAUGCUGCUCCCUUUCCUCAUGGUUUCCCCUUUUGUGGUUGCAGCAGAGUUCACACUAGCCAGUGUUCUGGUAGAUGGAAAGAUUGCCCCACCUCUCCCGGGCCACCCCCAUCUUUGUCGUUUCCCCUUUUUCACAUUUUGCCCUUUCUAGGUAGCUGGAGUGUAGCUUCCAGGUCAGUGCCAGCCAUAAAGGAGGGCACAGGGGAGCAGGUGGCUAUGCAAAAGUCACUUGCAGGCUGUGGACUCAGGGCUGAGAAAUAGGACACCUGCCAGUGCCCAUUCCAGCUUUGACCUGGCUGGGGCAGCCUUGGGUUAAGGCCUCUGUGUAGUCCUGCUUUCCACCAACAUCAGGAAGGGGAGCUGCAGGAGCCAUCUAGGCAGGCACCCCAGGACUGUGCCAGUACAUGGGCCUCUCACUGCUGUGGCCUCUCCCGUUGCGGAGCACAGGCUCCGGACGCGCAGGCUCAGCGGCCAUGGCUCACAGGCCUAGCCGCUCCGCGGCAUGUGGGAUCUUCCCGGACCGGGGCACGAACCCGUGUCCCCUGCAUCGGCAGGCGGACUCUCAACCACUGCACCACCAGGGAAGCCCCUGGUGAUUGGAUUUUUGUUUUGGGAUGUGGCUCUGGUGACGGAGUGGGUGAUAGGCGAAGGAGGGCAAGACGCUGCUGUGUUCUCUCUAAGCCUCAGAGCCUGAUGCCUGAGUUUGGGGGGUGUGGGGUGGAGAGGAGGGAUUUGACUCAGCAGGAUGGCUUUAGGCGACAUGGGCGGUGCUGUUCAUUGAAGUAGGGGAAUGUUGGAGGAGAGGCUUAAGGGAGAGAUGAAGUCGCCAUCAGACCUGUUGAGUGGGAGGAUUUAUGGGACAGCCACAUUCGGUUGGGUUGGAAAAUCAAUUCUGGAGCUGGGGGAGAGGUCUGGGCUGACGGGAUGGUUUAGGUGUCAUGAAACUCCAAGGUGGCACUUGAAGCCAUGGGGGAGGAUGACAGUGUCUGGGAAGGGAAGGGGGCCUGGGAGAGUGGUAAAGAUGCUCCUGAAGUAUAGCACCCAGCUUUCCAGGGGACCAACAGCAGGCCAGAAGGGGUGUGCUGGGGGCCCAGAACUCAGGAAUUCUCCGGCCUAGCUUUGGGUGAACUCAGUGUGGAGCCUCAGGACAUACAGACAGGUGGGUACUUGGUGCUCUGCCAGCAGAUGCCUGAGCCCUGAGUAUGGUUAUCAGGUGACCCAGAGGGGGAUGCAAGGAGGCUGACCCUUUCCCGACUGUCCUGCUUGCAGUUAUGGAGUUAACCCCUCACACAAUCCUUUGCAUAUGCUCACCGAUUGCUCCCUGAAUCUGUCCCAUUGUUUUCAUAUGUGUUCCCCCUGAGAAGCUCCUUCGUGGGAGGGACUGCUUAAUUUCCCUGGCUCCUUCUCAGAAUCCCAGCCAGGAAAUGCUAAUCUGUAAUGUUUAUGCAUAAUCUGCUUUUCUUAAACUUCUCUGAACUUGGUGAGUGGGGCUUGGGGUUUUUUGGCACCUGGUAGGAGCAGGGCCACCAAGAGGGUCUUUGUUGGCUGGAGGGAUGUUAAGGUUUCCAGGGUGAGUUGGCUGGGUCAUCUCUCUUAGCCCGGGCACUGGCUAAUCAGAGAGUGGGCCACAGGCAGGGGGAGGAGGCCUGAUGAGUUCUCAGCAGGCCCAAAGGAUAUGACCUGGCGGUUCCUUAGUUUCAUUUAAGAAAUCCUGGUCAAUCCUCUUGGCCUGACCUGUGGUCAUUUCUAAUUUCCUCUUGGCCACGAUCCCGAUUAGCAGGUAUUUGACGCUCUCCUCCAAGCCCUGAUUCUCUGCCUCUCCCUCCAUGGUUUGCUUUCUUUUCACCCACACCCCUCUUCUUUAUUCCAUCCUCCCAGGCUCACUUCCUGCUCUUCUACUCCCCGAGGACCUCUUCACUAGGAAACCCAACUGCCACCUGUCCUGAGAUUAUUGCAGUUCCUUUAGUGGCUUCAUCCCAGCCCCAGAGACCUUGGUCAGGUGACAGGAGGUCUCUGUCCCAAGGCAGUGUCUGACCCCCAAGUUAGGUUCCCUGGAAUCCACCACCAUCUAGACCUCAGCCACGAGCCCCUGAUGGGUGCAGGGACCUGAGAUGCUGCAGGCAGCUCCCAUCAUUAAACUCAAGUGUGGGGCCUCAAAGGUGAUUGUCAAGAUGGACUGAGUAGUUUGAAGGAAGCCUGAGAUCUAUUUGCUGGUUUAGUUAGACAACAAAAAAGUACUUUGCCCGAUGUGCCUUCAGGAGGGGAGGGUCUUCCCCAGCCCCCUUUUAUUUCGGGCUCAUAAUCCUAGUAUCUGGAUGAGCCGCAGCACUGACCAUCACUGAGCAGACAGGAGGGGGUGGUGAGGGGUGGCCUUGGUGCACAGGACCCUGGGGAGGGAACUCGGGCUGUGUGACCCCCCACUCUCAAGCUGCUGGGAGUAGCCUGCCCCCAGAUUUUCAACCAGGGCCAAUCAGGUGUCCUGGGGAGGCCUCUGGCCUGGGGCGAGCUUGGGCCACAUCAGUGUCAACAGUCCCCACCCCCUGCAACUCCAGUAAAUAAGGGAUGGAUUAAAGCAGAUGAGGGCUAAUUUGCCACCAGGUCUCUCCGUUCUCUCCCCAGGCCAACAGCCGUGCUAGGCAGAAUACACUUUCCUGCUCCCUUUUUUUUUUUUUUAAUUAAUUAAUUUAUUUGUUUAUUUUGGCUGUGUUGGGUCUUCGUUGCUGUGCGCGGGCUUUCUCCAGUUGUGGUGAGCUGAGGGCUGCUCUUCAUUGCGGUGCCCAGACUUUUCACUGUCGUGGCUUCUCUUGUUGCAGAGCACGGGCUCUAGGCACGCAGGCCGCAGCAGUUGUGGCACAUGGGCUCAGCAGCUGUGGCUCGCGGGCUCUAGAGCGCAGGCUCAGUAGUUGUGGUGCACAGGCUCAGCUGCUCCACAGCAUGUGGGAUCUUCCCGGGCCAGGGCUCGAACCCGUCCCCUGCAUUGGCAGGCAGACUAUCAACCGCUGCGCCACCAGGGAAGCCCUCCUGCUCCCUUUCUAACUCAGGCAUCCCACGGGAGGCAGAGAUGGUCAGGCAUAACUUUUGAACCCGUGAGUCUCACUGGAGAAGGGAAAUCCCGAGUGCCAGCACACUGUUCUGCCCGCUGAGGGCUGACACCUCAUUUCCAAAGGAUGCCAAGGAGUCAGGUCAGUUUCCACACUUGAAGCAUAAAGCACAUGACUUGGAAUCAGUUCCCAGGAAAGGAUAGUUCUUUGUGCCUGAGAGCAAAGCCGGUGGGGAACAUGUGGCAGAAAGAGGUCAGUUGUUAACAUUCCCCUUCUCCCACCAAUCCCGAUCAAGAACACAGUAAGGCAGUUUUCUAGUCACACAAUCUGCACGUGAGAGUAGAUAAAUAUACCUCAUGCCUUCCUCCUCCCGCCAGUGCAGCAAUGAGAAGUGGGGCUGCUGGGCUGGUUAGGAGGCUUCCAUGUCAGGGUAGAGACAGUGGUUGGUCUGGUAUCACCCAAAGGGCUUAAGUAUGCUUGGGACGGGACUCCCUGCCUGUUAAUAAAGAAGUGAUGGGGGCAGAGGACCUGUGAUCUGAGAUCCAUCUCCUUUUUAUUUCUUCAGCUGAUGUGAGGGUGCACUGGCUCUAAGGACAAGCUGUUUGCUUGCAAAAAUGCAGGCGCUGGUGACAAAGGAAACACAGUUAAGGAGACUGAUAGCUCUAAACGAGCCUUGCCACUCUUGCACAGAACAGCCACCCUGGCUGUGUCCUUUCGAGGCUGAUUAAGAGGCAUUGUUGUUACAAGAAAAGCACGUACUGUUCUCUAUAUGCUUGAGAACAACUUGCCUCUUCCUUCAGCUCAGAUGCUCUUCAGGCUCCUGCUAGGUGUAAACACAGGUACUGAGCUGGGUCCCAUCGCAGUCUGCCUACCAUCCCAACCCCUGAUCUCCUAAUGAGCCCUGUCCCACCCCUGCCCACCCCCAAAAAUCCCCACCAAAA